GACGAACGCUGGCGGCGUGCUUAACACAUGCAAGUCGAACGGAAAGGCCCUGCUUUUGUGGGGUGCUCGAGUGGCGAACGGGUGAGUAACACGUGAGUAACCUGCCCUUGACUUUGGGAUAACUUCAGGAAACUGGGGCUAAUACCGGAUAGGAGCUCCUGCUGCAUGGUGGGGGUUGGAAAGUUUCGGCGGUUGGGGAUGGACUCGCGGCUUAUCAGCUUGUUGGUGGGGUAGUGGCUUACCAAGGCUUUGACGGGUGGCCGGCCUGAGAGGGUGACCGGCCACAUUGGGACUGAGAUACGGCCCAGACUCCUACGGGAGGCAGCAGUGGGGAAUAUUGCACAAUGGGCGGAAGCCUGAUGCAGCAACGCCGCGUGCGGGAUGAUGGCCUUCGGGUUGUAAACCGCUUUCGCCUGUGACGAAGCGUGAGUGACGGUAAUGGGUAAAGAAGCACCGGCUAACUACGUG
rnacentral:rRNA from 1 species